rnacentral:rRNA from 1 species
AUCUGUAGCUGGUCUGAGAGGAUGAUCAGCCACACUGGGAUUGAGAUACGGCCCAGACUCCUACGGGAGGCAGCAGUGAGGAAUAUUGGACAAUGGGGGAAACCCUGAUCCAGCAAUGCCGCGUGAGUGAAGAAGGCCUUUGGGUUGUAAAGCUCUUUUACUCGUGAAGAUGAUGACGGUACCGAGAGAAAAAGUUCCGGCUAACUUUGUGCCAGCAGCCGCGGUAAGACAGAGGGAACUAGCGUUGUUCGGAUUGACUGGGCGUAAAGGGUGCGUAGGUGGUCACUUAAGUAAGAUGUUAAAUCCCAGGGCUUAACCCUGGAAUCGCGUUUUAAACUGAGAGACUAGAGUGUGGUAGAGGAAAACGGAAUUCCUAGUGUAGAGGUGAAAUUCGUAGAUAUUAGGAGGAACACCGGAGGCGAAGGCGGUUUUCUGGGCCAUUACUGACACUG